rnacentral:rRNA from 1 species
CCUACGGGAGGCUGCAGUGAGGAAUAUUGGUCAAUGGGCGCGAGCCUGAACCAGCCAAGUCGCGUGAGGGAAGACGGUCCUAUGGAUUGUAAACCUCUUUUGUCGGGGAGCAAAAGACGCCACGUGUGGCGCCACUGAGAGUACCCGGAGAAAAAGCAUCGGCUAACUCCGUGCCAGCAGCCGCGGUAAUACGGAGGAUGCGAGCGUUAUCCGGAUGUAUUGGGUUUAAAGGGUGCGUAGGCGGAUCGUUAAGUCAGUGGUCAAAUUGAGGGGCUCAACCCCUUCCCGCCAUUGAAACUGGCGCUAUUGAGUGGAAGAGAAGUAUGCGGAAUGCGUGGUGUAGCGGUGAAAUGCAUAGAUAUCACGCAGAACCCCGAUUGCGAAGGCAGCAUGCCGGCUUCCGACUGACGCUGAAGCACGAAAGCGUGGGGAUCGAACAGGAUUAGAUACCCGAGUAGUC